AGCAGCCGCGGUAAUUCCAGCUCCAAUAGCGUAUAUUAAAGUUGUUGCAGUUAAAAAGCUCGUAGUUGAAUUUUGGAUUCUUCCAAUUGGUCCAUCUUUUAGAUGAGUACUGGUUGUGUGGGGUCUAUCCGCCUGGUGAUACGUAAUGUCCUUUAUUGGAUGUUUCGGGUAGUCAGGACCUUUACCUUGAAAAAAUUAGAGUGUUUAAAGCAGGCUUAUGCCGGAAUACAUUAGCAUGGAAUAAUAGAAUAGGACGAAGUUGUUUUAUUUUGUUGGUUUCUAGGACAACCGUAAUGAUUAAUAGGGAUAGUUGGGGGCAUUAGUAUUCAAUUGUCAGAGGUGAAAUUCUUGGAUUUAUUGAAGACUAACUACUGCGAAAGCAUUUGCCAAGGAUGUUUUCAUUAAUCAAGAACGAAAGUUAGGGGAUCGAAGACGAUCAGAUACCGUCGUAGUCUUAACCAUAAACUAUGCCGACUAGGGAUCGGGCGAUGUUGUUUCCAUGACUCGCUCGGCACCUUAUG
rnacentral:rRNA from 1 species